rnacentral:lncRNA from 1 species
ACCUUGCAUGCUUAUGGAGAGAGUUCUUUAUAAGUAUGUGGCGGUUGCCGCGACCUCUAGCUCGCAAUCUCAGAUCGGAGGUGUAACAGUUUUGUAGCAAGGUAGAAGUAGUAUCCUUUAGUUUUCUUUGAGUACCCUACGAACAAGCAUCUGUCGGACUUUAGUCCAAACUUGUCUACCUUUAAAUGCUUGACAUAAGCUAGACACCC